rnacentral:rRNA from 1 species
GUAGGUGGCAAGCGUUGUCCGGAAUUAUUGGGCGUAAAGCGCGCGCAGGCGGUUCUUUAAGUCUGAUGUGAAAGCCCACGGGCUCAACCGUGGAGGGUCAUUGGAAACUGGAGAACUUGGGUACAGAAGAGGAAAGCGGAAUUCCACGUGUAGCGGCGAAAUGCGUAGAGAUGUGGAGGAACACCAGUGGCGAAGGCGGCUUUCUGGACUGUAACUGACGCUGAGGCGCGAAAGCGUGGGGAGCAAACAGGAUUAGAUACCCUGGUAGUCCACGCCGUAAACGAUGAGUGCUAAGUGUUAGGGGGUUUCCGCCCCUUAGUGCUGCAGCUAACGCAUUAAGCACUCCGCCUGGGGAGUACGGCCGCAAAGGCUG